UAAGGAAUAUUGGACAAUGGGCGAAAGCCUGAUCCAGCCAUGCCGCGUGCAGGAUGACUGCCCUAUGGGUUGUAAACUGCUUUUAUAUAGGAAGAAAAAUUUUCUCGUGAGAAAACUUGACGGUACUAUAAGAAUAAGGAUCGGCUAACUCCGUGCCAGCAGCCGCGGUAAUACGGAGGAUCCAAGCGUUAUCCGGAAUCAUUGGGUUUAAAGGGUCCGUAGGUGGACAAAUAAGUCAGAGGUGAAAUCCUGCAGCUCAACUGUAGAACUGCCUUUGAUACUGUUUGUCUUGAGUUAUUAUGAAGUGGUUAGAAUGUGUAGUGUAGCGGUGAAAUGCAUAGAUAUUACACAGAAUACCGAUUGCGAAGGCAGAUCACUAAUAAUUAACUGACACUGAGGGACGAAAGCGUGGGUAGCGAACAGG
rnacentral:rRNA from 1 species